rnacentral:rRNA from 1 species
UACGUAGGGUGCAAGCGUUAAUCGGAAUUACUGGGCGUAAAGCGUGCGCAGGCGGUGAUGUAAGUCAGAUGUGAAAUCCCCGGGCUCAACCUGGGAACUGCAUUUGUGACUGCAUCGCUGGAGUGCGGCAGAGGGGGAUGGAAUUCCGCGUGUAGCAGUGAAAUGCGUAGAUAUGCGGAGGAACACCGAUGGCGAAGACAAUCCCCUGGGCCUGCACUGACGCUCAUGCACGAAAGCGUGGGGAGCAAACAGG